rnacentral:rRNA from 1 species
AUGGGGGCGACCAUUGAUCGUUCGUUAGAGGGUACGCGGGGUCCUAACCUUUACAAGAUUUGUGGUCAGGUCCAUCACCGUAUUGGUUCUCUUUUGCCAUCGAAAGAUGAGUCGCCUAAAUUCGCUGAGAUGUAUAUUUAUGACACUGCUAAUGAAGUGGAUCAUAGGAUGAAUGCAGGCAAUGUAGAUGGUACUUCCUCAGGACAGUUAGAUCGUUCUAUUGUGGAGGGUUUAAAGGAUAUGCUUGACCAGAACAAUUCUUUGGUUAAGAAGUUUAGGAUGGCUAAAGAGAGGUUAGAGGAGCAUCCAGCUGAGCGUAUAGCUAUUAGGAUCAUUGUGCCUGGUGAAGGUGAUGGUCCAUAGUAUAACCUGCCCACGGCUAAUGAGCUGGCGGCCUUGGUUGUUGGUGAUUUUACUUUAGACGCAUCUUCUCGAGAUAUCAUGAUACAUGAUAGGGUUGAAGGGCUGCAGCAAAUUAAUUCUUUGCAUCCAGCCUAUAUGCCAUUGCAGUAUCCAUUGUUGUUCCCGUACGGUGAGAGAGGUUUCCAAAUUGAUGUUCCAUAUAAAGGAUUGCGGGCCGGGGAAAAGACCAGGGGUAAAGUUACUAUGCAGGACUAUUACUGUUAUGCGUGUCAUUAUCGCCCGGAACAGCCAAAUCCUUACUUAUGUUAUGGGUCUUUGUCUUCACAAAUUGUUGUUGACUGUCGCGCUUGCAUUGAUGAGCAGCGACUUUGGUACAUACUUAGGCACCAGGAUGUUUUUCGAUCUGAGCAUAUGCAGGGUGUUACAGAUGCAGUUGGCCAGGGUUAUGUCAAUGGCUGGUCUGUUGGGAAAAAAACUAUUUUCCCGUCGAGUCAUACUGGUGGGAAACGUUACUUUCAGGAGAACUUCCAAGAUGGUCUUGCAAUCUGUCGAGUGCAUGGUGCCCCUGAUAUUUUUAUUACUUUUACAUGUAAUCCAAAGUGGCUUGAGAUCGCUGGGGCCUUACUGUUAGAACCUGGACAAAAGCCACGUGACAGGGCUGACAUUGUUGUUAUGGUCUUUAGCAUGAAACUUGAUGAAUAUCUAGAUGAGAUUAAGUCGGGGCGUGCCUACGGUCCUAUAAAGACUGGUACUAUCUUUUGCCCUUUUAGUCGGUCUGCUCUCUGA